AUGAGGGGCAGCACGUUGCGUCCAGACGUCUCCGCCGCCGGCCUCUCUACACUCUGCUCCCCAGUCCCCACCUCCUCCGGUCCUCCCGCACGGCCGCUCCUCCGCGAUGACACCAACCGUCCAGAAGCGGAGUCGCCGCCUCGACCCGGGGUCCCCCCGUCCCCGUCGUGGUCGGCACCACGCACAUCCCGAGGCACCACCCGCUCGUUGUCGGCACGCCCGAGCCUGCCAAGAAGGAGGCCGUGCCGCGGAGGGGCUCCUGGGGCCGAGAAGCAUAGCGGCGCCGGCGAUGCCGGGGUGCUCGCAUCACCCAAGGUUGUCAGGCCCAUCGCGCUCAACUUCGAGGAGAAGACGCCCGUCAAGGAGCGGCCCUAG
rnacentral:rRNA from 1 species